CCUACGGGAGGCAGCAGUAGGGAAUCUUCCACAAUGGACGCAAGUCUGAUGGAGCAACGCCGCGUGAGUGAAGAAGGGUUUCGGCUCGUAAAGCUCUGUUGUUGGUGAAGAAGGACAGGGGUAGUAACUGACCUUUGUUUGACGGUAAUCAAUUAGAAAGUCACGGCUAACUACGUGCCAGCAGCCGCGGUAAUACGUAGGUGGCAAGCGUUGUCCGGAUUUAUUGGGCGUAAAGCGAGUGCAGGCGGCUCGAUAAGUCUGAUGUGAAAGCCUUCGGCUCAACCGGAGAAUUGCAUCAGAAACUGUCGAGCUUGAGUACAGAAGAGGAGAGUGGAACUCCAUGUGUAGCGGUGAAAUGCGUAGAUAUAUGGAAGAACACCGGUGGCGAAGGCGGCUCUCUGGUCUGUUACUGACGCUGAGGCUCGAAAGCAAAGA
rnacentral:rRNA from 1 species